rnacentral:rRNA from 1 species
AUGGCUCAUGAACAAACCACAAAACUUGGCAAACACUUGAUAGAGAUGAUAUGCCUCUGGACAUGCUUCGACCAUGGUGAGGGAGAGGUCCAGGCGGCAAGUUUGUCUGCUGGGCGGUGGCGAACAAGAUGGGGACAUUGUCUUCUCCACCCGGUGCCAUCAGGCUUUGCUGGAAAAGGGAUGGUGCAGAAUUCACCCAUUAGUGGCACUAUCGUGCCGGCAACCUCUUGCCACCCUCUUUGUCGGCGGUCUAACCUUCUCCCUUCUCUUCAUCGCCUCCCAUCACAAAAUUUUCCAUCGACGGCAUACUUGAUCCCUUCCCCUAUCAGUGUGAUUGCUGCUGCUAUCCACAACGGUCAUCGAUGGAAGGCGGUGUAUGUUGAAUAA